rnacentral:rRNA from 1 species
GACGAACGCUGGCGGCGUGCCUAAUACAUGCAAGUCGAACGCAUUUUCUUUCACCGUAGCUUGCUACACCGAAAGAAAAUGAGUGGCGAACGGGUGAGUAACACGUGGGUAACCUGCCCAUCAGCGGGGGAUAACACUUGGAAACAGGUGCUAAUACCGCAUAAUUCCAUUUACUGCAUGGUAGAUGGAUGAAAGGCGCUUUUGCGUCACUGAUGGAUGGACCCGCGGUGCAUUAGCUAGUUGGUGGGGUAACGGCCUACCAAGGCUGCGAUGCAUAGCCGACCUGAGAGGGUGAUCGGCCACACUGGGACUGAGACACGGCCCAGACUCCUACGGGAGGCAGCAGUAGGGAAUCUUCGGCAAUGGACGCAAGUCUGACCGAGCAACACCGCGUGAGUGAAGAAGGUUUUCGGAUCGUAAAACUCUGUUGUUAGAAAAGAACAAGGAUGAGAGUGGAAAGUUCAUCCCUUGACGGUAUCUAACCAGAAAGCCCCGGCUAACUACGUG